CCGAAGUCGGUGAGGUAACCUUUUGGAGCCAGCCGCCGAAGGUGGGACAGAUGAUUGGGGUGAAGUCGUAACAAGGUAGCCGUAUCGGAAGGUGCGGCUGGAUCACCUCCUUU
rnacentral:ncRNA from 2 species